rnacentral:rRNA from 1 species
CCUACGGGAGGCAGCAGUAGGGAAUCUUCCGCAAUGGACGAAAGUCUGACGGAGCAACGCCGCGUGAGCGAAGAAGGUCUUCGGAUCGUAAAGCUCUGUUGUAAGAGAAGAACGUGUGUGAGAGUGGAAAGUUCACACAGUGACGGUAACUUACCAGAAAGGGACGGCUAACUACGUGCCAGCAGCCGCGGUAAU